rnacentral:lncRNA from 1 species
GGCGCUGGGAGACUCGGAGGCUCAGACGGCAGCCUCCGGGUACUGAAAGCCCAGGCUCCCUGGGGUGGUCGGCGCGCCCGCCAGCAGGUCUCUGGGGACUUCUGAUCACCUGUUCUUACCCUCCCCCAUACCCCAUACCUCCCGCCCUUGUCUCAGGAACGGUGACACCGGAUUGCUCUCCAUCUCCUGUUGGUCUACACUACACACAACUCAAUAAUCCACUCUUCCAUCCGGGUGACAGAGACACAAAUCAUCUAAGCUAGCAGUGCUCAAAGUACCAGUCCAAGAACAGCAGCAUCAGCACCUUUGGGGAACUUGUUAAAAAUGUGGAUUUGGGGGCCCCACCACAGAUCUACUGAACAGAAGCUCUGUAGAGCCCAGCAGGUAAUUCUGAUGCAAGCUAAAGUUUCGGAGCCACUGAUCAAACAUUCAUUCAUUCAUUCUUCACCUGGCCCACCCAGCCAGUGGGAGAGACACCCACAAAGCACCAGGCUGUGAGCCCCACCACUGUCCACCCUGAGACAAUGUCCAUUAGCUUUUGGAUGGCAGGCAGAGGUGCUCCAACUUGGUCCAGUACAGGCUUGGGAAUCGGGACCAGGUUCAGGGCAGCAGGUUAGCUAAUGGCAGCCAAAGGUUCCCCUGGGAUGGGGAGUGGGGAGAAGCUGCCUGGUUUGGCCCAUGCUGCUGCACUCAAAGCAGCUAGCUUUCGAAGCUGCAAGAACAGGAAAUUGACCCUUCUCUGCCCCCAGUAAUUGAUGAUGGAGUCUCUGGAAGGCCAGGCAGAUGGGGUCUUGCUCUUUGCAGCAGGGAGCUAUCAUGACUGAGUGGGUAACCAAGGGGCAGGGCUUUCUGCAGGAGAGGAAACUUACUCCUCUCUCCCAAAGCAGGCUGCUAUGGCUGCCUGCCUGGAAGGAAACCCAGGCAAAGAGAUUCAAUGUGGAAAAGGUCGAAGUUCUGAAACGGAAGCUUUAUGGGGUCUUUCUAAUACGACGAAGGAACCAGGGGCAGCUACAUAGGCCAGAUGGAUCAUGCCAGUGAGAUGAGAAAUUGAAAGGCAGGAUGGAGGGAGGGUCUGACGUAGACUAAUGAGAUUCAUUAGAAUCUCAUUAAAGAUCCUAAUUCCAACAAACCCGCCCUGGAAAGACACUUUAAAGACAAUCAGGGAAAAUUGAAUAUGGACCUGCUAUGAGAUAUUACCAAGUUAUUCUUGCUAAUACUCUGUGUGAAAAAGCCAUUUGGUUAUGUAGAAAUGCAUGGGGGUAUUCUUCAGUCGGAUAUUGAAGCACAUGGGAAUAAAAUGACAUGAAGUCUGGCAUUGGGUUUAAAAUACUUGGCAGAAAAUGGAGAGACACAUCAAAUAGAGAAAGAC